GAGUUUGAUCAUGGCUCAGGAUGAACGCUGGCGGCGUGCUUAACACAUGCAAGUCGAACGAUGAAGCUUCCUGCUUGCAGGAAGUGGAUUAGUGGCGAACGGGUGAGUAUCACGUGAGCAACCUGCCCUUGACUCUGGGAUAAGCCUGGGAAACUGGGUCUAAUACCGGAUAUAACCUCUUACCGCAUGGUGAGUGGUGGAAAGCUUUUGCGGUCUUGGAUGGGCUCGCGGCCUAUCAGCUUGACGGUGAGGUAGUGGCUCACCGUGGCGAUGACGGGUAGCCGGCCUGAGAGGGUGACCGGCCACACUGGGACUGAGACACGGCCCAGACUCCUACGGGAGGCAGCAGA
rnacentral:rRNA from 1 species